GCCCUUUCUGUUGGUCUGUUGGUCUGUUGGUCUGUUGGUCUGUCUACGCCAACUUUAACAUUUUGCAAUAACUUUUGCUAUAUUGAAGAUAGCAACUUCAUAUUUGGCAUGCAUGUGUAUCUCAUGAACCUGCACAUUUUGAGUGGUGAAAGGUCAAGGUCAAGGUCAUCCUUCAAGGUCAGAGGUCAAAUAUACGUGGCCAAAAUCGCUCAUUUUAUGAAUACUUUUGCAAUAUUGAAGAUAGCAACUUGAUAUUUGGCAUGCAUGAGUAUCUCAUGGAGCUGCAUAUUUUGAGUGGUGAAAGGUCAAGGUCAUCCUUCAAGGUCAGAGGUCAAAUAUAUGUGGCCCAAAUCGCUUAUUUUAUGAAUACUUUUGCAAUAUUGAAGAUAACAACUUGAUAUUUGGCAUGCAUGUGUAUCUCAUGGAGCUGCAUAUUUUGAGUGGUGAAAGGUCAAGGUCAAGGUCAUCCUUCACAAGGUCAAGGUCAUCCUUCAAGGUCAAACGUCAUAUAGGGGGACGUUGUGUUUCACAAACACAUCUUGUUGAUACUUGUUUUUGCUAGGUUUGAAAUAAAUUGUUGUUUUAUUUAAAUAUUGCAAUUUAUGCUUAUAGGAAUACAGUAAAUUGUUGUUUUCAUUUUUACAAGUAAACGCCAUAGUCGAGUUUCUUUUUAAAACUAUUUGUCAAAACGGAAAUUUGCAUGAACCUGUGUAAUAGUUUGCUUUUGUACAUAAUACUAGGUAUGCUAGGCAUGUAUAAUAAUGACUUUGUAAAUGCCUAUAUCAAUAUAUUGUGUAGACGCUUUGUGUUAGUUGAUUUACCAAACCAUUAGAGUUUGAUUUAAUUGAAUAUUACACAUAACGGUGGAGUAUAACAUUUAACAUUCAGAUGUUAGUUGGUGAAUUGAGUAUUAUAUGUGCAACUCUUUGGCACACAUUUACUAUAUGCAUUCAAGCGAGUAGUAAUAUUUUAUAAGAAACUUAUGCAUUUAUGGAAUUAAAUAAGUUUGUUAUAGCCUAAUAGGACAUUGUACCAUAUAUAUUUAUAUGGUAAGACUGUUAGACAGUCGUUAAUGGCACAGUAUUUACUAAUGUCAUUUAUUUUAGCCGUUUCAAUGUGGUGAGUCGUAUGGUAUGAUAGACGUCAGGUCGUCAACGCACCGUUAGCGUGACGCCAGUGCUACGUGAGCAUCCGCAAGUCUACAGGGCGUCAUACUCGUUGACAGUACCUACGACACCUCGUUAUAAGGCGGAAAUACGGGGAACCGUUCGCACCGGUACAUGGCCGGUCACGUAAGACGUCAUCAGUACGUUCUACUUCCGGGCAUAGUCUGCUCGGCGUUUGACAACGUUCUACUUCCGGGCAUAGUCUGCUCGGCGUUUGACAACGUUCUACUUCCGGGCAUAGUCUACUCGGCGUUUGACAACGUUUUACUUCCGGGCAUAGUCUGCUCGGCGUUUGACAACGUUCUACUUCCGGGCAUAGUCUGCUCGGUGUUUGACAGAACACUACUUCCGGGCUUGAUACAGCUCGGGUAUCUCGCUCUACUUCUGUGCUUGAUAUAGCUCUGGUAACUACAGUCUACUUCUGUGCUUGAUACAGCUCGGGUAUCUACAGUCUACUUCUGUGCUUGAUACAGCUCGGGUAUCUACAGUCUACUUCUGUUCUUGAUACAGCUCGGGUUAUCUGCACUCUACGUUCGGGCUUGAUACAGCUCGAAGUUUGCUACUUCGCAGAACACUACAACCGGUACUCGGAUUCUGUUCUGGUCAUUGACGGCUGGACAUAAGUUCAGGUCGUGACACUCAAUAUUAAUCCACCACUACAUCUACCAUCUACAGUUGGACUACGUUAAUUGGCCAUUAACUUUGAUAUGUUUUUGUUCAUUUCUUUUAAUAGUCAUAUCAUAUUGUAAAUAGUUUAUUUUAAUGUUGUAAAUAAAUUGAUUUAUUUUU